AUGGGCGGCGUCGUUGACGAACGGCCUCAUCCCUCCGUCGUCGGCGGAGAGGCUUCGUCCCACCCCACCGACCUGGUGCUCGUCAACGCCAUGUACUUCAAGGGACAGUGGAACAAGACAUUCUUGGACAAGGCACGCCAUCUGUUUCACCGCCUCGACCGCACCGCCGUCGACGCGCCCUUCAUGCGCGGCUUCGGCGCACAAAGAAUCGCGUGCCAUGACGGCUUCAAGGUGCUCCAGCUGUGUUACAAGCAAGCCACCAAGCACCGGCUUCAAGGAGGCUGCCCCUUGCCGGCACCGAUCUACUCCAUGUUCGUCUUCCUUCCUGACGCGCUGGAUGGGCUGUGGCGGCUCAUCGACAUGAUCGCUUGCGACCCUGAAUUUCUGCGCAAGCACCUGCCUAGGAGCGACGUCGAGGUCGGCGAGUUCCGGCUGCCUAAGCUCAAGGUCAGCUUCGGCAUGACGAUGAACGGCAUUCUCCGGGGCAUGGGGCUCAAGGAGGCUUUUGAGCCGGGGAAGGCCGAUCUGUCCGACGUGACGGAGGACGGCCCAAGAGAAAGGAGGAGGCUGGAGCAGGUGGUCCACAGGGCCAUCAUUGAGGUGAACGAGGAAGGCACCGAGGCCACGGCUGCCACCAUGAUGGACACUUGCUUGCGCACUACUCUCUCCGUCCAGAAAAACUUGUCGGAGAAAUGGAUGUAUCUAGACGGAUUUAAGUUUUAG
rnacentral:rRNA from 1 species